UUGCAUGUGGUUCUCUGCAAAGCGUACAAGUCUUUCGCCUUUUACUAAAGACUUCCGUGCAGAGGAGCAGCGCUUUGUCAGUUGCAUUUUGGCCAGGCUCUGCCGGUAAAGCCUU
rnacentral:snRNA from 1 species